rnacentral:rRNA from 1 species
GAUGAACGCUGGCGGCGUGCCAAUACAUGCAAGUAGAACGCUGAAGGAGGAGCUUGCUUCUCUGGAUGAGUUGCGAACGGGUGAGUAACGCGUAGGUAACCUGCCUGGUAGCGGGGGAUAACUAUUGGAAACGAUAGCUAAUACCGCAUAAGAGCAGUUGUUGCAUGACAGCUGUUUAAAAGGUGCAAUUGCACCACUACCAGAUGGACCUGCGUUGUAUUAGCUAGUUGGUGAGGUAACGGCCCACCAAGGCGACGAUACAUAGCCGACCUGAGAGGGUGAUCGGCCACACUGGGACUGAGACACGGCCCAGACUCCUACGGGAGGCAGCAGUAGGGAAUCUUCGGCAAUGGGGGCAACCCUGACCGAGCAACGCCGCGUGAGUGAAGAAGGUUUUCGGAUCGUAAAGCUCUGUUGUAAGAGAAGAACGAGUGUGAGAGUGGAAAGUUCACACUGUGACGGUAUCUUACCAGAAAGGGACGGCUAACUACGUGCCAGCAGCCGCAGUAAUACGUAGGUCCCGAGCGUUAUCCGGAUUUAUUGGGCGUAAAGCGAGCGCAGGCGGUUAGAUAAGUCUGAAGUUAAAGGCUGUGGCUUAACCAUAGUACGCUUUGGAAACUGUUUAACUUGAGUGCAAGAGGGGAGAGUGGAAUUCCAUGUGUAGCGGUGAAAUGCGUAGAUAUAUGGAGGAACACCGGUGGCGAAAGCGGCUCUCUGGCUUGUAACUGACGCUGAGGCUCGAAAGCGUGGGGAGCAAACAGG